rnacentral:rRNA from 1 species
UGGGGAAUAUUGCACAAUGGAGGAAACUCUGAUGCAGCGACGCCGCGUGAGGGAAGAAGGUUUUCGGAUUGUAAACCUCUGUCUUCGGUGACGAAAAUGACGGUAGCCGAGGAGGAAGCCACGGCUAACUACGUGCCAGCAGCCGCGGUAAUACGUAGGUGGCAAGCGUUGUCCGGAAUUACUGGGUGUAAAGGGAGCGUAGGCGGGAAGGCAAGUUGAUUGUCUAAACUAUGGGCUCAACCCAUAGUCGCGAUCAAAACUACUUUUCUUGAGUGAAGUAGAGGUAAGCGGAAUUCCUAGUGUAGCGGUGAAAUGCGUAGAUAUUAGGAGGAA